UUGGAGGGCAAGUCUGGUGCCAGCAGCCGCGGUAAUUCCAGCUCCAAUAGCGUAUAUUAAAGUUGUUGCAGUUAAAAAGCUCGUAGUUGAAUUUCGGGAUCAACAUGUCGGUCGUGCCUCCGGUACGUACUGGCAUCGUUGGUUUCUACCUUCUGACAAACCAUGAUGUCAUUAAUUUGGUGUCAUGGGGAAUCAGGACUGUUACUUUGAAAAAAUUAGAGUGUUUAAAGCAGGCACACGCUUGAAUACAUUAGCAUGGAAUAAUGAAAUAGGACGUUUGACCCUAUUUUGUUGGUUUCUAGGAUCGACGUAAUGAUUAAUAGGGAUAGUUGGG
rnacentral:misc_RNA from 1 species